AAGAGAGUCCUAUGAUAAUUACUCUUAAAAGCUGCCUCUCCCAGGGAGCUGCUCUCAGAGCUCGGGUCCUGCCUGGGAUGUCCUUGUGUUCUGACAACAGGAUCACCCACCAAGAAGCCGUCCCUGGGUGCUGCUCUUAUGACUCUAAAGUGAUUCUUAGAGGCCUGGUGGCAGCAGACUUCCAGGCUGCACAAGUAAGGAGUGGGCAGCAUGGGCAGAGGCCCUGAGCUCUCUCUGUUCCAGAGUUGUGUGUGAAACCUGUUGGCUUAGAUACGUUUCAGGGCUUUAGCUGAAGGUUGGUUGCCUUAGCCCCAGUGUCCCUGUUUGUUGCCCAGCCGGUGCAUACUCCUUGUUACAUUUGGAGUCUACACUUGGGGAUAGAGGUCUACAGUGGGCCCGUGAGGCGGGUAAAGUCCCUAAAUAGAGGUGCUAGACGUCAAUAACUAGUGAGACCAUUGGGGGACAUGAUACCUGCUGUCUGGUCCCUUAAUGGGUGUAACAGAGUCUUAGAAGAUGGCGGUGGUGGGGCUGAGGUGGCUUUGCCUACAGAUGCCAGCAAACUGUCACCGAGACAAGCUGCAAGAAGCUUUCUGCUCCCGGGAAAGGGAAAGGGAAAGGGCAGGGGUGGAAUAGGGAAGUAGGAAGGGAGGAAGUGGGGGGAGGGGUGAUCUUAUGUCAUUCAGACAGGCAGACAAUCUACACUUAUAAACACACUUCAGAGUUAUUAAAAUAUACAUCAGAGACCCCUGUCCAGAACUGUGAGAUAAAGCUCACCAAGAGGGGUUGAUCCCUGCCAUCAGCGGAGUGUCACAUACCUGGAUUUAAUGACACUGCUUGGUGGUGACAUGUAUGCUGGGGCAGGCUGCUAGGUGACAGUUCCAUCUGCCCAUACUGCACUCCCCGCUCCCCCAGUCUAUCCUGGCUAAGAAGGAAAAGGACAUGCUAGAUACUGGUGUGGUCAUGGGGUGAGGUUGUCAUAGCUGCAGGCAUAAUGGCAAAUGUAGAAACUUUGAAAGAUGUGCAGAGGGCCACCCGUAGCUGGUUUCUUAAAGCCAAGCCUGGGACUACCAUGUGGCCCAGAGUGUUGAGCACUGGGGACUGGAAGGACACUGGGGUGACAGAGCUCUCCAUUAUCUGUCUUAGUCAGGGUUUUUUAUUCCUGCACAAACAUCAUGACCAAGAAGCAAGUUGGGGAGGAAAGGGUUUAUUCAGCUUACACUUCCACACUGCUGUUCAUCAACAAAGGAAGUCAGGCCUGGAACUCAAGCAGGUCAGGAAGCAGGAGCUGAUGCAGAGGCCAUGAAAGGAUGUUAGUUACUGGCUUGCUUCCCCUGGCUUGCUCAGCUUGCUUUCUUAUAGAACCCAAGAUUAUAUAUACCAGCCCAGGGAUGGCACCACCCACAAGGGGCCCUCCUCCCUUGAUCACUAAUUGAGAAAAUGCCUUAUAGCUGGUUCUCAUGGAGGUAUUUUCUCAAGCAAGGCUCCUUUCUCUGUGAUAACUCCAGCUUGUGUCAAGUUGACACACAAAACCAGCCAGUACAGUAUCUUACGCCCUUUUGCAUAUUCUCUGGUAUGUCCCUUUGUGACCUUUGUCACCUUUGUGAGUUUGUGUGUCCCUGGGCACCUGAACACUCUGACAUUUAGCUUGUACAGGACAGUCCUGGGUCAACAUGGUGCCAGGACAAGGACAGGCAGUGCUGCCAGCCUCAGGCAGGUGAUAGUCAAACACAGUAAGCGACAUACGGCGAUUAUGGGAUGGCAGGUACUCUAGCCAAGUAGAGCAGGCCCAGGAAUAUGGGGUACAUGAGGUCAUAUGGUCAGGUCAGAGGUUGUCCCCAAGAAGAUGACAUUGGAACCAAGGCCUGCAGUGGCAGUGGGGACAGGCUAUUCUCUCACACUCUCUGGACAGAGGAGUCCUUCCCUGCCUAAGGAUGGGUCUAGUGUUUGUAUCAGGGACCUGUGUGGCCAGAGGACAAGUGACUGUGGAGAAGAGAGCUGAGGUGGGCUUGGUUGUCUCCCCGCUGUACUAACCCCCUCCCCCGGUUAAAUCAGCUCCAGGCCCUGCCUGCUAGGCUCAGUUCUGCAAGGGUCAGGGUUGGCACCAUCUAGAAAAGAGCUUCUGGGGGACUUGUGCUGCCAAGCCACCACUCCACCUAACGGAGACGAAGCCAUGACUGCUAACCCGGGCCAAAGCCAGGAGCUGCUCACUGUCAUGGAGACUCUGGGUUCAGAAAUGCUAAGGGCUUCAAGGUUCUCUGAUGGCCGACCCAGCAGCCUCUGGGGUUCCAUGGGUUCUGAUGAGAGGGUGGCUCUCAGAAUGGUCCUGUGUGCUCUGUGAGUGCGUAGUGAAGCCUUCUGAUUGGUGGAUCAGUGCAGAGGACGCAGGCUUCCAAACACUCCUGGCCGGAAGCGACAUCCCCGACAUCCCCGAGAGCUGACUGCCAUGCUCCUCCCUUUUCCAGCACAGGGGCAGGCAGCCAGUUUUUCCCUUAGACAAGGUCUGGUUUCUUCCUCUGGGUCAACCCUUUGAUAGCUCCUCUGGGCCGGGUCACAGUCUUGAAGUGGCUUCCCUCCCUCACCUCUUGUUCCCUGCCAGCAUCGCAUGGUGGCUACUUCAGAGAACAUGAGGACUGACCCGCUGAGACUCUGCAACCAUGAAACUCUUAAGAUGUUGGGAGGCUGUGAGGUGACUGAGCUGCCCGGGUGUAACUGUUCUGUUGUCCUGGUAUAGAGUCUGUGAGGUGAACACAGCAGAACAUAGCAUCACCAGAGAGAUUGUAUAACCACAGAGCCAUUGAGGUUCCUCAAGGGUGUGUGCCAUUUAGAUCAGUGAGUGAGGCUCUUAAGGUAAAAUAGGCCUGCAGCUCUACCCCAACACUGAGGCCCAGGUCAGCAUAGCCAAGUUAUUUUAUUAAUGCAUUCUGCUGAGUGGACGUGAAUGGGCGGCGUGGCCUCUUCUACUGUGGAUCUAAUUAUAAACACAGGGGACGGCACCAAAUAAGCCGCCUUGGAAGGAGGAAGAGUCUGGCAGCCGGGGUUAACGCGGCCUUUAAUGAACUUCCUUGGUACUUGUAUCUUAGCAACACAUUUUAUUACAUCCCAGUGCGGCUGGACUUGCGUAGUAAUUUAUCCCCCUUUUCGUGCCCCAGCCCUGGUGACUCAAGAGAAGAAUGUGUGUGUACCCCUCCCAUGUUUUCCCAGGGUUCUGUUUGCCUCUUUUAGGCUUUAUUUAACCAUUAGGAAAGAUAAACAUGCCUACUCUAGUCCCGGGACUCUCUGGCCUGGGGUUGCUACCCAGAGGGACAGUGUCCCAGACUCUUGAGGUAUGCAGACUGUGCCGAGCUAGACUCCCACAAGUGGUGCCCACUGCCUCAUGGAUUCUCUUAUGCUUCCUGGGCUGGAUUAUUUCUUAUCUGCGAUUCAGUCUUGCGAUCACACUAAUUUGGAAGUGAGAGUGUGAGCAACUCCCAUUGCAGCAGCAGCAGCCUGUAAGUGGGGAGUCGCGGCAAAGAGGUUUCUGCUAGAUAGAGCCUGAAGAGAGACCUCCAGGAUAGGGGCUGGACUGGGGCUGCCCACAUCUCAGGUUACCAUCCUCUGUGCUGUCACUGUCCCUCAGCUAUGUGGUUCCUGGGGCCACUGUAUCAGUUUGAGGCUUAAAGCGACAGGGUGUUAGUUAGCAGGUCUGGAUAACAGAAGGCUAGCCUCCAAUUCCGUCUUGGGGGAUUGAGUGAUCUGGGCUUUGAGCAUGGCAAGCAAGCUCUCCAUGUAUGAAUGGAGCCACGGCCACAGCCUGUUGCUCCUCCACACAUCCAUAGAUUUGUCCCAUUGUGCCUCGUUGUAUGAGGUAAUGUCUUUUGGGUUUAGGGGCCACGCUGUCCUGGAAUGGCCCCACAGAGUUAGGUCAAAGGCCCUGUUUCCAGGUCAGGUCACAGUUCAAGGUUCCAGGUAGACAUGAACCAUGGGUCUUAUCUGAGCCUGGCAUAGCUGAGGGUUAUAGGUUAGGUGUGCCCCCGGUUAGAGGAAGGGAUGGCAGGCUUGCACCAACCACACUCUGGCUUCCCUGUAACUGUGUGUUCUUCCCAGGGAGAGCUGAGGUGGACAGGCUGCUCAGCUUCCUCCACCCUGGGUCGGAGAAACAGGCUGAUUUUCCAAACCAUUGCUUGGUAGCGGGUUUGAGUAUUUGAAUCAGCAGCUGGGGGUUUGGGACCUGGAGAAACAGGCACGUGAACCAGGUUGCUGACGAUGUGAGGGUCGGCGUAGAAUGCUCCUCCUGCUUGACCAAGAGGCUGAGAUUUUUAAAGUCAGUUUCUGGAUCUAUAAUGGUGCAGGGAGCCCUUAGAGUGGCACCCAGUUGCAGAGGUACGGAGAACUAACUGGUGUUGGGGCUAAAGGGGCUUAGCAAGCAGCCUGGGUGGGGCCAAGAGGCUCCACAAAGCCAUCUCCAUCCUCCACUUGCUACCACAUUGUCACUUGCCUUGCCUCUUCUGUAAGCAGCAUUUGCUACAUCCAGCUGUCCGGAACAGGAAGGGGCUUAGAGCACUGAAUUGGGUAUGGACAGAGCUGGCUGGGCCCACUUCAUCAUGGACAAGCUAAGGGUUCAUGCUGUGUAGAUAUGCCUCUCGGUGGGCCUGUCCCUGCAAAUGUCCAGGUUAAUGGGAUGAGGCUAUUGCUAUUAUCAACAGUGGUGAGGCAGGAACUGGGGACAGGUCUGGCUUAAGAGCUAUGAGGAAGUGUUUCCUUCCUGUCCCCGGGGCCUUGGGCUGGAAGCUCAGUUGGCCUCACACCUUUCCUAGUGGUUUGCUGAUGUGAUGAUCUCUGCCUGGGCUCAGACAGCCCUGUCCCAGUUGAGGAUGUUCAUUCUGACUCCAGUUCUGUCACCUGAACGCUCAAAAACACAGAGGCCAGUGUGUCACUUCCUGUUCCCUUUGUACCUUGACCCCUGCUCAUCACUCCACCAUGUGGAGACAUCCUAUAGAGCAGUAUGUGGAGAUACCAGUUGGGGACACCAAAUCAGAGUUUUCAUGUCUCAUGAGACCCCGUGGUCUUUACACUCUCUUCCACAUCCUGGGACCUCUUAGAUGCUGUGCUGCAGAGGGGUUCAGUUCAUGCUGCAAUGAGAGUGCACAGGUGACAGCCCAGAACUCACGCAAAGAUUGAAAGACUGUUGCAGUUGUGGUUACUACCUCUGUUGUGCU
rnacentral:lncRNA from 1 species